rnacentral:rRNA from 1 species
UGGGGAAUCUUGCGCAAUGCGCGAAAGCGUGACGCAGCAACGCCGCGUGGGGGAAGAAGGCCUUCGGGUUGUAAACCCCUUUCAGUUGGGACGAAGCUUCGCCGGUUAAUAGCCGGCUGGAGUGACGGUACCUUCAGAAGAAGCCCCGGCUAACUACGUGCCAGCAGCCGCAGUAAUACGUAGGGGGCUAGCGUUGUCCGGAAUCAUUGGGCGUAAAGCGCGUGUAGGCGGCCCGGUAAGUCCGCUGUGAAAGUCGGGGGCUCAACCCGCGGAUGCCGGUGGAUACUGUCGGGCUCGAGUACGGAAGAGGCGAGUGGAAUUCCUGGUGUAGCGGUGAAAUGCGCAGAUAUCAGGAGGAACACCAAUUGCGAAGGCAGCUCGCUGGGACGUUACUGACGCUGAGACGCGAAAGCGUGGGGAGCAAACAGG